rnacentral:rRNA from 1 species
ACGCUCGACACCUACGGAGGCAGCAGUGGGGAAUAUUGCACAAUGGGGGAAACCCUGAUGCAGCGACGCCGCGUGGAGGAAGAAGGUCUUCGGAUUGUAAACUCCUGUUGUUGGGGAAAAAGAGGAUGGUACCCAACAAGGAAGUGACGGCUAACUACGCGCCAGCAGCCGCGGUAAUCUGAGCGGGCUGGCAAGGC